rnacentral:piRNA from 1 species
UNGUAUCAGUGUGUAACCUGUGGGUAGC